rnacentral:rRNA from 1 species
CCACCUGGGGAGUACGAUCGCAAGGUUGAAACUUAAAGGAAUUGACGGGGGCCCGCACAAGCGGAGGAACAUGUGGUUUAAUUCGAUGAUACGCGAGGAACCUUACCUGGGCUUAAAUGUAGAUUGCAUAGGGUGGAAACAUCCUUUCCCUUCGGGGCUAUUUACAAGGUGCUGCAUGGUUGUCGUCAGCUCGUGCCGUGAGGUGUCGGGUUAAGUCCCAUAACGAGCGCAACCCUUAUCGUUAGUUGCCAGCGGGUAGAGCCGGGGACUCUAGCGAGACUGCCACCGUAAGGUGAGAGGAAGGUGGGGAUGACGUCAAAUCAGCACGGCCCUUAUGUCCAGGGCUACACACGUGUUACAAUGGCAGGUACAAAGGGCAGCUACACAGUGAUGUGAUGCUAAUCUCAAAAGCCUGUCCCAGUUCGGAUUGGAGUCUGCAACCCGACUCCAUGAAGUUGGAUUCGCUAGUAAUCGGAUAUCAGCCAUGAUCCGGUGAAUACGUUCCCGGGCCUUGUACACACCGCCCGUCAAACCAUGGGAGCUGGGGGU